CGGGGUAUGGCGCAGAGGCAGCGCGCCGCGUUUGGGACGCGGAGGUCGAGAUUUCGAAAUUCUCUACCCCGACCA
rnacentral:tRNA from 1 species